AGGACGAACGCUGGCGGCGUGCUUAACACAUGCAAGUCGAACGAGGCGCUUGCGCCUAGUGGCGAACGGGUGAGUAACACGUGAGCAACCUGCCCUUGGCUCUGGGAUAGCCUCCGGAAACGGGGAUUAAUACCGGACAUGACCUUCUCCUGCAUGGUUGGGGGUGGAAAGUUUUUCGGCCAGGGUGGGCUCGCGGCCUAUCAGCUUGUUGGGGGGGUGACGGCCCACCAAGGCGACGACGGGUAG
rnacentral:rRNA from 1 species